rnacentral:lncRNA from 12 species
GUACAGCUUCUUGGCCUCGUCCACGUGCUCCGAGAUCUUGUCGAUGUUCAGCCGCGUGUCCUCGAUCUGCAGGCACAGGGAUGGGGCCCGGGGUCACGGGAGACACGGCCCAGCCCACGGGCCGCCCCCGUCCUGGAGAGUGGGUGCUCCUAGGAGUCCUGGGUGCAGGGGGGCCUCCGCGGGCACACACACCCCAGCCCCGACCCACACCCACCCCAGCCCGGCCCACCCAGGAGCCGACACCUGCCCCUGGGACGGCAGACGGGGCCAGGGAGGACCCCAGGGAAGAGGGAGAUCAGGAGGAGAGGACGGGGCAGAGGAGAGAGGGAGGACAGCGUGUGUGUGCCUGCGGCUCAGCUCAUGGUCUGGGUCCUGGGGUCAGCGCCCCCUCCCCGCCCGCUCCCAGGCCCCUGCUGCUCCCUCUCGCUCUGUCUCAAACCCUUAAAGUGCCGUCACGUGCCUCCGGGACACUCAGGUGGCAAUCCUGACCCCCAGCAGGUGGCAAUCCCGACCCCCAGCAGCUCCCCGAGAGGACGCGAGAGGACGCCGGGGGCUCGUUGGUGUGGCCGCGCCGCCCAAGGCCCCGUGCUGCCCUUGGAGGAACUCAGGGUCACAACCGCUGUCACCCCCAGGGAGAAGGCCCCGCAGGCCCCGGGCAGGUCACCCACCUCGGCGAAGAACUCAUCCAUGAAGGCCGUGUUGUCCACAGCGAUCUCCACCUCCUCCGCAUCGUCGUCCUGCGUCAGCUGCUCCUGUGAGACACAGAGAGCAGGGCCCAUGACCACGGGACUUCGCCUUCUGCGCAGUCCGACGUUGUCCUCACGUCUUCGGCCCCGGCCAGUGUCUCCUGACCUUCUGCCGCGUCUGAAAAGAUCCCGCAUCCCGUUUGGCCGCAAGAACCGCAGUUUGGUCCCGGGCCUGCUCCUCGGGACCAGCCGGGGCUGCAGGAAGGCUCAGGGAGAAGGGACGCGUUGGCCUAGAGGGAGCCUGGGGGCUCGUGCUCCGGCACACGCCGCGCCUCACCCCCGGGGCUGCGGGACGAGGCCAAGGGCGCGCGAGGGCUUGGCCGGGACCAUGCACGGGAUGCCCAUGGGAUGCCCACGGGGCGGCCACAGGGAGGGUGUCCUCUGCCCCGCGCCAAGGGGCGGUGGCCGCACCCACAGCACGUGGGCCCCGCGGGCCUGGGGCACCUAAGGCGGCUGCGAAGCUGCUGCCCAGCCCGUGGGCCUCCUCACGCAGCCGACGCGACGGCCACGACCAGGAAGACGGUCUAGCUGGGUGGUGGUGGCGGUUUUUUUUUUUUUUUAAGAUUCUACUUUUAAGUCAUCUCCACACCCAGCGUGAGGCUCGAACUCACGGCCCUGAGAUGGAGAGUCGUGGGCUCCAGACAGCGGCCAGCCGGCCGGCGCCCCGAGCAUCGCCCAAAGACCACAGGAUCGGGGGACAGGGUCCCAGUCACGGGGUGACGGAAACCCCAGCGGCCCCACAGGGAGGGGCGCACGUGGACAGCAGCUCCGGAGGCGGCGGGCGCCGGGCGUGGAGGACAGACGGCAGCGUGACCCCGGCAGGCGUCCCCCCCACAUACAGGAACAAAAAUAACCCUAAUCCCCUCUCUGGUCGCAGCGCUCUCCCUCCUGGCGUCUGCCGAUGAGCCCGUAAUCCCUGCUCGCUGCUCCCCGUGGCCUCCCCGUGGCCUCUGCAGGGGCCGCCCCCGCCCCCCCCCCUGCACAAUCUCAAAGGAGAAGUUCUCAGGCUGCAUCUCGGCCAAGAGCUUCUCAAACCAGGAUGUGGACGUGCGGUCGUGACCCAAGCACCUGCCACGCCGUGCGGCCCCGUGGCGGCGACCAGCGAGCCAAGCUUCAAAGGGGAAGCACAGGGGCGCUGGGGCCCGGGAUGGAGCGGCCCAGGGGGUGGCCCGGGGUCCUGGAUCCAGUCCCACGUCGGGGUCCCCGCGGGGAGCCUGCUCCUCCCUCGGCCCGGGUCUCUGUCUCUCUGGGUCUCUCAGGAAUAAAUAAAAUCUUUAAAAAAAUAAGCA